UACGAAGGGGGCUAGCGUUGCUCGGAAUUACUGGGCGUAAAGCGCACGUAGGCGGUCUUUUAAGUCGGGGGUGAAAUCCUGGAGCUCAACUCCAGAACUGCCUUUGAUACUGGCGAUCUUGAGUCCGGGAGAGGUGAGUGGAACUGCGAGUGUAGAGGUGAAAUUCGUAGAUAUUCGCAAGAACACCGGUGGCGAAGGCGGCUCACUGGCUCGUAACUGACGCUCAUGCACGACAGCGUGGGGAUCAAACAGG
rnacentral:rRNA from 1 species